UUGUUCUUUUCCUAUUAUUUUGUGUGUAUUUAUUGCAUAUUAUUUUGUUAAUAGAAGCCUAAUAGUGCCCUCCAUUAUAAUUAUUAAUGUAGAUAUAUAGCUGUCUGUGAAGAGAAAUUAAAGACAUCCAAAUUUAAGGUACUGUGCCUUUUAGAAAGUUUUCAAAAACUAAGAUAUGCUCUUUAGCACACUAUACGAUUAUGCUUUUUAAUUCAGGUGAAGGAUGCUACCCGGAAGAUUGCAAAGGCUUUUGCCAUCUCUGGUCCAUUCAACGUCCAAUUUCUUGUCAAAGGAAAUGAUGUCUUGGUGAUUGAGUGUAACUUGAGAGCUUCUCGAUCCUUCCCCUUUGUUUCCAAGACUCUUGGGGUUGACUUCAUUGAUGUGGCCACCAAGGUGAUGAUUGGAGAGAAUGUUGAUGAGAAACCUCUUCCAACAUUGGACCAUCCCAUAAUUCCUGCUGACUAUGUUGCAAUUAAGGCUCCCAUGUUUUCCUGGCCCCGG
rnacentral:sRNA from 1 species